UUUGAAUCAUACAAUCAAGAGGCACUUUUAACUAGUUGCAAGUUCAAUAAUGUCUUUCUACAAAUCAUUACCAAACAACUAGAAGCUCAAUGUAUGGUGCAAGCAACCUUUCAAAAUAAUCCUCAUUUCAACACCUUCAAUCUUGGAGUGAGGAAUCACAUGAAUUGUUCUUAUGGAGCUAAUCUGAAUCAAGCAUUUCCUCAAGAUCAACAUUUUGAAGAUCACCUUGAAUCUUUUGAAGAUACUCU
rnacentral:lncRNA from 1 species